GCCUCUUCUCUAGGCCUCGCGCUGACGGCCCCUGGGGGCUGAGGUGGGAACAGAGUAGGGCAGCCCAGGAGCCGCCUCCACCCUCCUCAGGCCAGGCUGCCAAUGCGAAUAUUAGCUGGGGAAAAACAAACCCACCCGUCUACACUGGGUGCCAGAGGCAGGCUGGCGCGCCCUGACUCCGUGCCGGACUGGCAGUGAGCUGGGCACACAG